rnacentral:rRNA from 1 species
UGCGCAGGCGGUUCGACAAGUCCGAUGUGAAAGCCCCGGGCUCAACCUGGGAAUGGCAUUGGAAACUGGCGGGCUGGAGUGUGGCAGAGGGGGGUGGAAUUCCGCGUGUAGCAGUGAAAUGCGUAGAGAUGCGGAGGAACACCGAUGGCGAAGGCAGCCCCCUGGGCUGACACUGACGCUCAGGCACGAAAGCGUGGGGAGCAAACAGGAUUAGAUACCCUGGUAGUCCACGCCCUAAACGAUGAUCACUGGGUGUUCGGGGAGCGAUCUCUGAGUACCGUAGCUAACGCGUGAAGUGAUCCGCCUGGGGAGUACGGUCGCAAGAUUAAA